rnacentral:rRNA from 1 species
UACGUAGGGUGCAAGCGUUGUCCGGAAUUAUUGGGCGUAAAGAGCUCGUAGGCGGUUUGUCGCGUCUGCUGUGAAAACUCGGGGCUUAACUCCGGGCCUGCAGUGGGUACGGGCAGACUAGAGUGCGGUAGGGGAGACUGGAAUUCCUGGUGUAGCGGUGAAAUGCGCAGAUAUCAGGAGGAACACCGGUGGCGAAGGCGGCAUCCUGGACCGACAUUGACGCUGAGGAGCGAAAGCUAGGGGAGCAAACGGG